AAGGAUCAUUAUCAAAACAGCGGACUUCGGUCCUUGCUGCACCCUUGUCUUUUGCGUACCGUAUGUUUCCUCGGCGGGCUUGCCUGCCGGUUGGACAUUAUCAAACCUUUUUGUAGUUGCAAUCAGCGUCAGAAAAUAAACAAUAAUUACAACUUUCAACAACGGAUCUCUUGGUUCUGGCAUCGAUGAAGAACGCAGCGAAAUGCGAAAAGUAGUGUGAAUUGCAGAAUUCAGUGAAUCAUCGAAUCUUUGAACGCACAUUGCGCCCCUUGGUAUUCCAUGGGGCAUGCCUGUUCGAGCGUCAUUUUGUACCCUCAAGCACUGCUUGGUGUUGGGCGUUUGUCCUGCAAAGGACUCGCCUGAAAGCGAUUGGCGGCCAACGUACUGGUGGUAGAGCGCAGCACAAUUUGCGUCUCUCCCUUCUACGUCGGCGUCCAUGAAGCCUUUUUUCAACGUUUGACCUCGGAUCAGGUAGGGAUACCCGCUGAACUUAAGCAUAUCAAUA
rnacentral:rRNA from 1 species